GUGCCAGCCGCCGCGGUAAUACCGGCAGCUCAAGUGAUGGCCGAUCUUAUUGGGCCUAAAGCGUCCGUAGCUGGCCUCGCAAGUCCGUCGGGAAAUCCAGUAGCUCAACUACUGGGCGUCCGGCGGAAACUACAAGGCUUGGGACCGGAAGGCUCGAAGGGUACGUCCGGGGUAGGAGUGAAAUCCCGUAAUCCCGAACGGACCACCGAUGGCGAAAGCACUUCGAGAAGACGGCUCCGACAGUGAGGGACGAAAGCUAGGGUCUCGAACCGGAUUAGAAACCCCGGUAGUCC
rnacentral:rRNA from 1 species